rnacentral:rRNA from 1 species
CUUAAUCGAAGAGGGCUGGAACGCCCUACCAUAGAAGGUAAUAGUCCUGUAGAUAAAAAGAGAAAACUUCGAGAUCUAAUCCAGAGUACCACGAGACACGUGAAACCUUGUGGGAAGCAGGGAGGACCACCUCCCAAGGCUAAAUACUACCUAGUGACCGAUAGUGAAGCAGUACCGUGAGGGAAAGGUGAAAAGAACCCCGGAAGGGGAGUGAAAUAGAACCUGAAACCGUGUGCCUACAACCGAUCGGAGCACGUUAAAGUGUGACGAUGUGCUUUUUGUAGAACGAGCCAGCGAGUUACGCUAUGUAGCAAGGUUAAGUACUUAAGGUAUGGAGCCGAAGGGAAACCGAGUCUGAAAAGGGCGAAAAGUUGCAUGGUGUAGACCCGAAACCGGGUGACCUAUCCAUGGCCAGGUUGAAGCGAGAGUAAAAUCUCGUGGAGGACCGAACCACGUUGGUGUUGAAAAACCAUGGGAUGAGCUGUGGAUAGCGGAGAAAUUCCAAUCGAACUCGGAGAUAGCUGGUUCUCCUCGAAAUAGCUUUAGGGCUAGCGUCGUGUAAUUGAGUAAUGGAGGUAGAGCACUGAAUGGGCUAGGGGCUAUAGUAGUUACCGAACCCUAUCAAACUCCGAAUGCCAUAUACUUGUAUCACGGCAGUCAGACUGCGAAUGAUAAGAUCCGUAGUCAAAAGGGAAACAGCCCAGACCAUCAGCUAAGGUCCCAAAGUGUAAGUUAAGUGGAAAAGGAUGUGGGAUUUCUAAGACAACUAGGAUGUUGGCUUAGAAGCAGCCACUCAUUUAAAGAGUGCGUAAUAGCUCACUAGUCAAGAGAUCCUGCGCCGAAGAUGUCCGGGGCUCAAACUUACCACCGAAGCUAUGGGUGUACACUAUGUGUACGCGGUAGAGGAGCUUUCUGUAUGGGUUGAAGUCGUACCGUAAGGAGCGGUGGACUGUACAGAAGUGAGAAUGCUGGCAUAAGUAGCGAGAAAUAAGUGAGAAUCUUAUUGGCCGAAAACCUAAGGUUUCCUGAGGAAGGUUCGUCCGCUCAGGGUUAGUCGGGACCUAAGCCGAGGCCGAAAGGCGUAGGUGAUGGACAAUCGGUUGAUAUUCCGAUACCGCCUAUUUACGUUUGAGAAAUGGGGUGACGCAGUAGGAUAAGAUGUGCGCACUAUUGGAUGUGCGUCUAAGCA